GCGCGCUGGCCGACCGGCUCGACCGCCGGCGGCUGAUGGUCGUCGCCGACGUGGCCAACGCGUUCGUGCUGGGCUCGGUCCCCGUGGCCUACGC
rnacentral:tRNA from 1 species